UAAAAAGAAUUUUUGGGCUUUUCUUUUGGCCAAUUUGCAUAAAAAUUCAUCAAGAUUUUGUAAAAGUAGGCAGCCUUUUUAGAUUUUAUAGAUUCAGUCCGAAUUUUCAAUAAACUGACCAAAAUACUUUUAUUUCUCUUUCUCUCUCUUCACGUUCGUUUUUUUUUCUGUACGGUUCUUCCUUUCUUUCUCCUCCCACUUUCUCUCCUUUCUCAUCCUCCCCACAUCGACGUUAACUACACGCUCCUUUCUCUUACUUCACCUGUACGUCAGUCGAUACUG
rnacentral:lncRNA from 1 species